rnacentral:rRNA from 1 species
UACGUAGGGUGCAAGCGUUGUCCGGAAUUAUUGGGCGUAAAGAGCUCGUAGGCGGUGUGUCGCGUCGGCCGUGAAAACCUGCAGCUUAACUGUGGGCUUGCGGUCGAUACGGGCAUCACUGGAGUUCGGCAGGGGAGACUGGAAUUCCUGGUGUAGCGGUGAAAUGCGUAGAUAUCUGGAGGAACACCGGUGGCGAAGGCGGCUCACUGGACUGGUAUUGACGCUGAGGUGCGAAAGCGUGGGGAGCAAACAGG